GUCUUAUCUCAGUGUCUCACAUUACAUUGCCCUGGAACUGAUGGACCCCAAAAGGCCACUCUGCCUGGAUUUUAUGCCUAGGCAGAGUUGAGUUUCUGGGCUAACGCACUGAAGGACAUCGUGUUCUAGGACGAGCAGGAACAGCCCGGGCUCCGUUCUAGCCAGUUCCUCGUUAUCUCAGGAUGUUACAUUCCCGGCACAUUCUAUAGUUAUUUUUGAGAACUACAAGUGAGAAAGGGGGAAGAGCUGGGCGAAAGAGGAGACAUCGUUCACUGGAUGUUGGAGAAGAGAUGAAAAAAAUAAAGGAGAAGGCAGUUUAGCAACGGGAUGGAGACAAAAAAGAAUCCUGUACUCACGAAAUUCAGGGGAUCUUCGUCCUCCUCUCCCCUUCAUAAAGGAGCGAGGCCUGUCUGAUAGGAACAGGAAGAGUUGGACUCUCACUGGAAUGGAUGCAGAAUCUUGGCCUCUGCAAUCCCACUGCCCGAACCACUGAAGGAAACCCUGCCUGAGAUUGAAGCCAGCACGGAAGCAGCGGAAUUGAGAAAGGAAGAAAGGUUUUGUUUAUGAAUCUGCCCAAAGGGAUCCCUUGAACUUUCCAAUCAAAUAA
rnacentral:lncRNA from 13 species